GACGAACGCUGGCGGCGUGCCUAAUACAUGCAAGUAGAACGCUGAAGAGAGGAGCUUGCUCUUCUUGGAUGAGUUGCGAACGGGUGAGUAACGCGUAGGUAACCUGCCUUGUAGCGGGGGAUAACUAUUGGAAACGAUAGCUAAUACCGCAUAACAAUGGAUGACUCAUGUCAUUUAUUUGAAAGGGGCAAAUGCUCCACUACAAGAUGGACCUGCGUUGUAUUAGCUAGUAGGUGAGGUAACGGCUCACCUAGGCGACGAUACAUAGCCGACCUGAGAGGGUGAUCGGCCACACUGGGACUGAGACACGGCCCAGACUCCUACGGGAGGCAGCAGUAGGGAGUCUUCGGCAAUGGGGGCAACCCUGACCGAGCAACGCCGCGUGAGUGAAGAAGGUUUUCGGAUCGUAAAGCUCUGUUGUAAGUCAAGAACGAGUGUGAGAGUGGAAAGUUCACACUGUGACGGUAGCUUACCAGAAAGGGACGGCUAACUACGUGCCAGCAGCCGCGGUAAUACGUAGGUCCCGAGCGUUGUCCGGAUUUAUUGGGCGUAAAGCGAGCGCAGGCGGUUUGAUAAGUCUGAAGUUAAAGGCUGUGGCUCAACCAUAGUUCGCUUUGGAAACUGUCAAACUUGAGUGCAGAAGGGGAGAGUGGAAUUCCAUGUGUAGCGGUGAAAAUGCGUAGAUAUAUGGAGGAACACCGGUGGGCGAAAGCGGCUCUCUGGUCUGUAACUGACGCUGAGGCUCGAAAGCGUGGGGAGCGAACAGG
rnacentral:rRNA from 1 species